GACGAACGCUGGCGGCGUGCUUAACACAUGCAAGUCGUGCGGAAAGGCCCCUUCGGGGGUACUCGAGCGGCGAACGGGUGAGUAACACGUGAGUGACCUGCCCUUCACUCUGGGAUAACC
rnacentral:rRNA from 1 species